AAUGAAUGUCUUUUGGAUGAAACUGUGAAUUGAGUUCUAUAAUCCUGGUGUCCAUUCUGAGUUUCUUCUGGGGUCUAACUCACAGGGAGAAACCACUGCUUCUACCAAUUGGGCAACUGAUGUAAAAGAGCACAGACACCACCGAGACUGGCUCUCAAGCUAUGGAAGCACCACAGGUGCAGGGUCAUGUUGCAGCAUGGACACUGGAUGCCAUCCCUAUAGCCAUAAGACAUUCCUAGAGAUGGGAGAUCAUUGAGAGAGAGAGGAGCAUGAUUUUACUCAGAUGCUCAAAAGAGUUUUUGACCAAGAAGGGGAUGUCUUCUUCAUGUGUAGAUUCCCAGCAUCUAGCACAGAGCCUGCUACAAUAAUAGAGCACUGAAGCAAAAAAUUAAGAAUCCAUUUUCUAGACUCUAGACAAACAUAAAAUGAAGGAAUUUAGUUUUUCAAGAUACCUCCUUUUGUUCUGCAGAAGACCACAACUUUUUGUAUGUGAAUCAACUUUGAUGACAGUGCUUGGGACAUAAUGGCACACAAUAAAUAUUCAUUGAAUGAAUGAAUGAAUGAAUAAAGGAGUGAAGGAGUAAAUUCCAUUCCAUUUGUGUUCCAAGAUAUAGCGUGAACUUCAGCUCUCUCAGAGUCCAGAUUUCAUAUGCAUUGAUACCCUUCGCAAUAUGAUUUUAUAACAUCUUACAUCAAGAGUCCCUUGAAUCUGGGAUGGCCUUGUGACUUGCUUUGGUCAAAAGAAUGAAGCAGUAGCACCUAUUAUGAAAUUAGGCUUUAAGAGGCCUUGACCGUUUCAACUCUCUCUUGGACACCUGUCUUCACCAUGAGAAUAAGUCCAGGCAACUUGCUUGAGGAUGAUAAACCACAUGAAGUGGAGCCAAGGCAUCCUCACGUCUAAGAGCCAGCACCCAGAAGCAUAAGCAACAUCCAUAAUUGACCUACGGCUCACCAAAGAGGUAGUGGGGAAGCCACACAAGACCAAAAGAACUGCUCAGCUGAGUCCAGCCCAAACUGUUGUCAGAGAACUUUCAGGACUUAGCAAUAAAUGAAGCAAUGAACGUUUAGUUGAUUUUGAAGUUGAAUCUGCAUAAUGUCUCUCUCAUCUGGUUGAACCACUUACGCUGAAUGUAUAGCAUGAAUUUGAUUAUCCCAUCUUUCUCACUAAGAUGCUACUUCUCAAACUACACUUGAAACAUCGAAUGAACACUCUCAUGUACCCAAUAACCAGGUCAAGAAAUACAGCAUCCCUAGCACCCUCCUUCUCCUACUGAAUCACUACAGCCUCUUGGCAGAGGUAAGCACUGU